rnacentral:rRNA from 1 species
AUUGAACGCUGGCGGCAGGCCUAACACAUGCAAGUCGAACGAGUGGCGGACGGGUGAGUAAUGUCUGGGAAACUGCCUGAUGGAGGGGGAUAACUACUGGAAACGGUAGCUAAUACCGCAUACCAUCGGAUGUGCCCAGAUUGGAUUAGCUAGUAGGUGGGGUAAAGGCUCACCUAGGCGACGAUCCCUAGCUGGUCUGAGAGGAGGACCGUCAACACUGGAACUGAGACACGGCCAAGACUCCUACGGGAGGCAGCAGUGGGGAAUAUUCGACAAGGGGCGAAAGCCGGAUGCAGCCAUGCCGCGUGUAUGAAGAAGGCCUUCGGGUUGUAAAGUACUUUCAGCGGGGAGGCGUUACCCGCAGAAGAAGCACCGGCUAACUCCGUGCCAGCAGCCGCGGUAAUUC